UACGUAGGGUGCAAGCGUUGUCCGGAAUUAUUGGGCGUAAAGAGCUCGUAGGCGGUCUGUCGCGUCUGCUGUGAAAACUCAGGGCUUAACCCUGAGCUUGCAGUGGGUACGGGCAGACUAGAGUGCGGUAGGGGAGACUGGAAUUCCUGGUGUAGCGGUGAAAUGCGCAGAUAUCAGGAGGAACACCGGUGGCGAAGGCGGGUCUCUGGGCCGUAACUGACGCUGGAGGCGCGGAAAGCCUAGGGGAGCAAACAGG
rnacentral:rRNA from 1 species